GACGAACGCUGGCGGCGUGCUUAACACAUGCAAGUCGAACGGAAAGGCCCUGCUUUUGUGGGGUGCUCGAGUGGCGAACGGGUGAGUAACACGUGAGUAACCUGCCCUUGACUUUGGGAUAACUUCAGGAAACUGGGGCUAAUACCGGAUAGGAGCUCCUGCUGCAUGGUGGGGGUUGGAAAGUUUCGGCGGUAGGGGAUGGACUCGCGGCUUAUCAGCUUGUUGGUGGGGUAGUGGCUUACCAAGGCUUUGACGGGUAGCCGGCCUGAGAGGGUGACCGGCCACAUUGGGCCUGAGAGACGGCCCAGACUCCUACGGGAGGCAGCAGUGGGGAGUAUUGCACAACGGGCGGAAGCCUGAUGCAGCAACCCCGCGUGCGGGAUGACGGCCUUCGGGUUGUAAACCGCUUUCGCCUGUGACGAAGCGUGAGUGACGGUAAUGGGUAAAGAAGCACCGGCUAACUACGUG
rnacentral:rRNA from 1 species